GCGUUGUCCGGAGUCAUUGGGCGUAAAGGGCGCGUAGGUGGCCUGGUCAGUCAGUGGUGAAAGCGCGGGGCUCAACCCUGCGUCGGCCAUUGAUACUGCUGGGCUUGAGCACUGUAGAGGCAGGCGGAAUUCCGGGUGUAGCGGUGGAAUGCGUAGAGAUCCGGAAGAACACCGGUGGCGAAGGCGGCCUGCUGGGCAGUAGCUGACACUGAGGCGCGACAGCGUG
rnacentral:rRNA from 1 species